rnacentral:misc_RNA from 1 species
UUCGGAGGGUUCAAGCGUUUAUCGGAAUUACUGUGCGUAAAGCGCACGCAGGCGGGCUGUAAAGUCGGAUGUGAAAUCCCCGGGCUCAACCUGGGAACUGCAUCCGAAACUGGCAGGCUAGAGUAUGGGAGAGGAUGGUAGAAUUCCAGGUGUAGCGGUGAAAUGCGUAGAGAUCUGGAGGAAUACCGAUGGCGAAGGCAGCCAUCUGGCCUAAUACUGACGCUGAGGCGCGAAAGCGUGGGGAGCAAACAGG